rnacentral:rRNA from 1 species
AGUGGUGUACAGGUGAGUAUUUGAUUAUCAACCUACCUUAAAGCAAGGGGAAAUCCCUUAUAUUAACAAAGGUUAUUCCGCUUUAAGAUGAUUAGAUAAAUCAUAGAGAUAGGUAGUUGUUAAGGUAAUGGCUUAACUAGCCCAAAAUUCUCUUAGUCGAAACUGAAAUGGUUGAUCGACCACAUUGGGGCUGAAAAAAACCCAAUACAAGUGAGUACAGCAGUGGGGAAUAUUGGUCAAUGGCCUAACGGCUGAACUGGCAACUUGGAGGAAUGGCCUAUCUUACUAAGUAAUAGUAAGAAUUAGAGUGAAAUGAUGGUUAAAUCGAUUAUCGAAUAAAAUUCUAAAUAUAUAAAUUAUAAUGACUAUAUAUAUUUAUGUCUUGACUAAUUACGUGCCAGCAGUCGCGGUAAUACGUAAGAGACUAGUGUUACUCAUUUUUAAUAGGUUUAAAGGGUACCCAGACGGAAGAAAUUUGCCUGGAAAGGAACAAUUUCUAUCUAGAGUUUAAUAUAAGAAGGUCGUACUUGUGGAAUAGAGAUGAAAUACUUUUAUACCUAAUAAGGGACUGGUAAAGGCGAAAGCAACCUUUUAUGUAAAAACUGACGUUGAAGGACGAAGGCUUAGAACACGAAUAGGAUUAGAUACCCUAGUAGUCUUAGCAGAAAAUGAUGAAUGUCAUAGGUUAGGUUAUACUUAGUCUAUAAAUGAAAAUGUAAGCAUUUCACCUCAAGAGUAACGUGGCAACACGGAAACUGAAAUCACUAGACCGUUUCUGACAUCAGUAGUGAAGUAUGUUAUUUAAUUCGAUGAUCCACGAAAAACCUUACCACAAUUAGAAUUGUAUUUAUAAUAUUUAUAUUAUAAAUAUAACGAGUGUUGCACGGCUGUUUCCAGUUAAUGUUGUGAAACUAUGGCUUCGGCCAUGUAAUUAACGAAAACCCUUGCUUUAUUUAUAUAUUUUUUUUUAUAAAGCUGCUUUUAUCACCAUACCGAUAAAAUAGUAGGGCCAAAGACAAGUCAUCAUGGCCUUUAUAUUGUGGGCUAUAGACGUGCCACAUAUUCCUAGACAAAGAGAUGCGAAAAUGCGAAUUUAAGCUAAUCUCAAAAAAUAGGAUAAAAUAGGAUAAGGAUUGUAGUCUGAAACUCGACUACAUGAAUAAGUAAUUACUAGUAAUCGUGAAUCACCAUGUCACGGUGAAUAAUAUCUCGGAUUGGUACUAACCACUCG